AUAUUAGUUGGAGAUCCCCGACCACGAAAUGUUAAAAAACACAUCAAAUUGUAUAAUGACUUGGACAGAAAAUAAUUUAGAAUUUAUAGACAAAACACAAAUACCUACUUUUCUACCAAAAAAGGCAUUUCAACUCAUAGUUUUGUGGUUGAUAAUACUUGAUAUGAAUGUAAGUUGGAACAAAGCCCACCCCACGUGUGUGCCGACGACGACCCACGUGCCGAACAUUCCGUUGUGGUUACAUGUUGUUGUUGUUGCUGUUUCAUUGGAGAUUGAUAGAUAUUGUACCGAUUUCAUUCAUUUUGCCUCACACACAAUACUUCGUGGGGCACAUGCUUCCUUGAUUCCUUCCACUUUCA